AACGAACGCUGGCGGCAUGCCUAACACAUGCAAGUCGAACGAACUCUUCGGAGUUAGUGGCGCACGGGUGCGUAACGCGUGGGAAUCUGCCCUUAGGUUCGGAAUAACUCAGAGAAAUUUGAGCUAAUACCGGAUGAUGACGUAAGUCCAAAGAUUUAUCGCCUAAGGAUGAGCCCGCGUAGGAUUAGCUUGUUGGUGAGGUAAAAGCUCACCAAGGCGACGAUCCUUAGCUGGUCUGAGAGGAUGAUCAGCCACACUGGGACCGAGACACGGCCCAGACUCCUACGGGAGGCAGCAGUGGGGAAUAUUGGACAAUGGGCGAAAGCCUGAUCCAGCAAUGCCGCGUGAGUGAUGAAGGCCCUAGGGUUGUAAAGCUCUUUUACCCGGGAUGAUAAUGACAGUACCGGGAGAAUAAGCUCCGGCUAACUCCGUGCCAGCCGCCGCAGUAA
rnacentral:rRNA from 1 species